rnacentral:tRNA from 1 species
GGCAACGUAGCUCAGCUGGUUAGAGCACAACACUCAUAAUGUUGGGGUCGGUAGUUCGAAUCUACCCGUUGCUACCA